rnacentral:ribozyme from 2 species
AAAGUAACUCCGCCUGUAGCUCUUCUGGAGUUACUGCCGGUCCCAAGCCCGGGUAAAGGAGGAAAGUUGA